AGAGCAUAUAAGCUGGAACUCAGAAAACCGUCAGAUUCAGAUGCAGAGAAGAUAACAGAACUGGAGGUAGGAACGUAAGCUCUCAAAGGCUCUGAGAGAGCUAGAGAAGACAAGCGCACUAGAAGCUCUCAGAGCCAAGGAGACAGAAAAUCAUUUCAUCUUCAGUCAAACUCCUGGUGGCUGGCCUGGCCUCCUUGCACUUCCCCCACUGAGAUCAAGGUGCAUCUGAAAAGCUCUCCAGAAAGCUGCCCAGCCCCGGGAAGGAGAUAAUAAAGGAUUUGGACUUUAACCCCUGGCUAUUCUUGUGAUUACUCAAAUUGAAAUGAAAGCUGCCCCCAGAGACCAAGAAAAACGAACGAGAUAACAUUACAGAGGAUGAUUUUAGAGAGGCCUGGAGAGACUUACAUGAAUUGAUGCUAAGUGAAAUGAGCAGAACCAGGAGAUCAUUGUACAUGACAAAAAACAAAAUUAUAUGAUGAUCAAUACUGAUGGCCAUGGAUUUUUCAACAAUAAGAUGAUUCAGGCCAAUUCCAACAGACUUGUGAUGAAGAGAGCUACAGCUAUCUGCAUCUACAAAGAGAACCAUGGGGACUGAAUGGGAAUAGCAACAUAGUAUUUUCACCUUUUUUGUUUGCUUGCUUUUUAUUUUAUCUUUUUUUUUCCUUUGAUUUGAUUCUUCCUGUGCAGUAUGAUGAUUGUGGAAAUAUGUAGAGAAGAAUUGCACAUGUUUAAGAUAUUGGAUUUCAACCAUUCUGCAGAGCAAUUUGGAACUAUGCUCAAAAAGUUAUCAAACUUGUGCAUACCUUUGAUCCAGCAGUGUUACUACUGGGUUUAUAUGCCAAAGAGAUCUUAAAGAAGGAAAGAGACGCACAUGUGCAAAAAUGUUUGUGUUACCCCUUUUUUUAGUAGCUAGAAACUGGAAAUUCAAUGGAUGGCCAUCUGUUGGGGAAUGGCUGAAUAAGAAACGAUAUAUGAAUGUUAUGGAAUAUUACUGUUCUGUAAGAAAUGACCAACAGGAUGAUUUCAGAGAGGCCUGGAGACACGCGAGCUGAGUGAAAUGAGCAGAACCAGGAGAUCAUUAUGCACCAUAACAAGAAGACUAUACAAUGAUCAAUUCUGAUGGAUAUGGCUCUCUUCAACAAUGAGUUGAUUCAGACCAGUUCCAAUUGUUCAGUAAUGAAGAGAGCCAUCUACACCCAGAGAGAGAACUGUGGGAAUUGAGUGAUUCCCACAACGUAGCAUUUCCACCCUUCCUGUUAUUGUUUGCUUGCAUUUUUCUUUUCCUUCUCCAGUUUUUUUUUUCUUUCUAGAUUCAAUUUUUCUUGUGCAGCAAGAUAACUAUAAAUAUGUAUACAUAUAUUGGAUUUAACAUAUUUAGCAUGUAUUGGACUACCUGCCAUCUGGGGAGGGGGGAAGGAGGGGAAAAUUUGGAACAGAAGGUUCUGCAAAGGGUGAAUGUUGAAAACUAUUUUUGCAUAUAUCUUGAAAAUAAAAAGCUAUUUAAAAAAUAUGGGUGAAAGGUGCUAAAACAAGGCACAGGUAUCAGCUGAUAGGUUUUCUUUUUGUUAUUCUAAUCUUGAUAAACGUCAACCAAAAGAAGCAUUUCCAUUUACA
rnacentral:lncRNA from 1 species